rnacentral:rRNA from 1 species
CGAAAGCCUGACGGAGCAAUACCGCGUGAGGGAUGAAAGCCUGUGGGUUGUAAACCUCUUUUCUCAGGGAAGAAGAACUGACGGUGCCUGAGGAAUCAGCAUCGGCUAACUCCGUGCCAGCAGCCGCGGUAAGACGGAGGAUGCAAGUGUUAUCCGGAAUCACUGGGCGUAAAGCGUCUGUAGGUGGUUUAAUAAGUCAACUGUUAAAUCUUGAGGCUCAACUUCAAAAUCGCAGUCGAAACUAUUAGACUAGAGUAUAGUAGAGGUAAAGGGAAUUUCCAGUGGAGCGGUGAAAUGCGUAGAUAUUGGAAAGAACACCGAUGGCGAAAGCACUUUACUGGGCUAUUACUAACACUCAGAGACGAAAGCUAGGGUAGCA